rnacentral:rRNA from 1 species
AGGGCACCACCAGGAGUGGAGCCUGCGGCUUAAUUUGACUCAACACGGGAAAACUCACCCGGCCCGGACACUGGAAGGAUUGACAGAUUGAGAGCUCUUUCUUGAUUCAGUGGGUGGUGGUGCAUGGCCGUUCUUAGUUGGUGGAGUGAUUUGUCUGGUUAAUUCCGAUAACGAACGAGACUCUAGCCUACUAAAUAGAUCGUCGGCUUACAAACGCCGGCGAGACUUCUUAGAGGGACAGGCGGUGAUUCAACCGCACGAAACAGAGCAAUAACAGGUCUGUGAUGCCCUUAGAUGUCCGGGGCCGCACGCGCGCUACACUGAAGUGAUCAGCGUGCUUUUUCAACCUACUCUGUCAAGAGUGGGGAACCCAAUGAACCUUCUUCGUGAUUGGGAUAGGGGGAUGGUAAUUAUUCCCUUGAACCAAGAAUUUCCCAGUAGGCGCAGUCAAUAGCUCGCGUUUGAUACCUCCCCUGCCCUUGGUCCACACGGCCCGUCGCUCCUCCGGUUUGAAUGUUU